GACGAACGCUGGCGGCGUGCCUAAUACAUGCAAGUAGAACGCUGAAGGAGGAGCUUGCUUCUCUGGAUGAGUUGCGAACGGGUGAGUAACGCGUAGGUAACCUGCCUGGUAGCGGGGGAUAACUAUUGGAAACGAUAGCUAAUACCGCAUAAUAGCAGUUGUUGCAUGACAACUGUUUGAAAGGUGCAAUUGCACCACUACCAGAUGGACCUGCGUUGUAUUAGCUAGUUGGUGGGGUAACGGCUCACCAAGGCGACGAUACAUAGCCGACCUGAGAGGGUGGUCGGCCACACUGGGACUGAGACACGGCCCAGACCCCUACGGGAGGCAGCAGUAGGGAAUCUUCGGCAAUAGACGGAAGUCUGACCGAGCAACGCCGCGUGAGUGAAGAAGGUUUUCGGAUCGUAAAGCUCUGUUGUAAGAGAAGAACGAGUGUGAGAGUGGAAAGUUCACACUGUGACGGUAUCUUACCAGAAAGGGACGGCUAACUACGUG
rnacentral:rRNA from 1 species